GCACUGAUGGUUCUCUGGUAGAAUUCUUGCCUGACAUGAAGAAGGCCUGGGUUCAAUUCCUGGCCAGUCUG